UACAGAGGGUGCGAGCGUUAAUCGGAAUUACUGGGCGUAAAGGGUGCGUAGGUGGUUUGGUAAGUUAGGUGUGAAAGUCCUGGGCUCAACCUGGGGAUUGCGCCUAAUACUGCUGAGCUAGAGUACUGUAGAGGGAAGUGGAAUUUCCGGUGUAGCGGUGAAAUGCGUAGAUAUCGGAAGGAACAUCAGUGGCGAAGGCGACUUUCUGGACAGAUACUGACACUGAGGCACGAAAGCGUGGGGAGCAAACAGG
rnacentral:rRNA from 1 species